rnacentral:rRNA from 1 species
AGGGGCACCUGAUCAGCAUGCCGCGUGAGUGAAGAAGGCCUUCGGGUUGUAAAGCUCUUUUGUCAGGGAAGAAACAGCAGCUCUAACACAGUCUGCGAAUGACGGUACCUGAAGAAUAAGCACCGGCUAACUACGUGCCAGCAGCCGCGGUAAUACGUAGGGUGCGAGCGUUAAUCGGAAUUACUGGGCGUAAAGCGUGCGCAGGCGGUUAUACAAGACAGGCGUGAAAUCCCCGGGCUUAACCUGGGAAUGGCGUCUGUGACUGUAUAGCUAGAGUGUGUCAGAGGGGGGUGGAAUUCCACGUGUAGCAGUGAAAUGCGUAGAUAUGCGGAGGAACACCAAUGGCGAAGGCAGCCCCCUGGGAUAACACUGACGCUCAUGCACGAAAGCGUGGGGAGCAAACAGGAUUAGAUACCCUGGUAGUCCACGCCCUAAACGAUGCUGACUAGUUGUUGGGAAUUUACAUUCUCAGUAACGUAGCUAACGCGUGAAGUCAGCCGCCUGGGGAGUACGGUCGCAAGAUUAAAACUCAAAGGAAUUGACGGGGACCCGCACAAGCGGUGGAUGAUGUGGAUUAAUUCGAUGCAACGCGAAAAACCUUACCUAACCUUGACAUGUCACUAACGAAGUAGAGAUAC